GAUGAACGCUGGCGGCGUGCCUAAUACAUGCCAGUCGAGCGAACGGACGAGAAGCUUGCUUCUCUGAUGUUAGCGGCGGACGGGUGAGUAACAUGUGGAUAACCUACCUAUAAGACUGGGAUAACUUCGGGAAACCGUAGCUAAUACCGGAUAAUAUUUUGAACCGCAUGGUUCAAAAGUGAAAGACGGUCUUGCUGUCACUUAUAGAUGGAUCCGCGCUGCAUUAGCUAGUUGGUAAGGUAACGGCUUACCAAGGCAACGAUGCAUAGCCGACCUGAGAGGGUGAUCGGCCACACUGGAACUGAGACACGGUCCAGACUCCUACGGGAGGCAGCAGUAGGGAAUCUUCCGCAAUGGGCGAAAGCCUGACGGAGCAACGCCGCGUGAGUGAUGAAGGUCUUCGGAUCGUAAAACUCUGUUAUUAGGGAAGAACACAUGUGUAAGUAACUGUGCACAUCUUGACGGUACCUAAUCAGAAAGCCACGGCUAACUACGUG
rnacentral:rRNA from 1 species